GACGAACGCUGGCGGCGUGCCUAAUACAUGCAAGUAGAACGCUGAAGGAGGAGCUUGCUUCUCUGGAUGAGUUGCGAACGGGUGAGUAACGCGUAGGUAACCUGCCUGGUAGCGGGGGAUAACUAUUGGAAACGAUAGCUAAUACCGCAUAAGAGUAGAUGUUGCAUGACAUUUACUUAAAAGGUGCAAUUGCAUCACUACCAGAUGGACCUGCGUUGUAUUAGCUAGUUGGUGGGGUAACGGCUCACCAAGGCGACGAUACAUAGCCGACCUGAGAGGGUGAUCGGCCACACUGGGACUGAGACACGGCCCAGACUCCUACGGGAGGCAGCAGUAGGGAAUCUUCGGCAAUGGACGGAAGUCUGACCGAGCAACGCCGCGUGAGUGAAGAAGGUUUUCGGAUCGUAAAGCUCUGUUAUAAGAGAAGAACGAGUGUGAGAGUGGAAAAGUUCACACUGUGACGGUUUUU
rnacentral:rRNA from 1 species